rnacentral:rRNA from 1 species
GAUGAACGCUGGCGGCGUGCCUAACACAUGCAAGUCGAGCGGAGUUAUUUUCAGGAAGCUUUCGGGUGGAAUGAACUUAACUUAGCGGCGGACGGGUGAGUAACGCGUGGGCAACCUACCCUGUACAGGGGGAUAACAAUGGGAAACCAUUGCUAAUACCCCAUAAUACCUUUUAGGGGCAUCCCUUUAAGGUCAAAGAAUUUCGGUACAGGAUGGGCCCGCGUCUGAUUAGCUAGUUGGUGAGGUAAUGGCUCACCAAGGCGACGAUCAGUAGCCGGCCUGAGAGGGUGAACGGCCACACUGGAACUGAGACACGGUCCAGACUCCUACGGGUGGCAG